rnacentral:rRNA from 1 species
AUACGUAGGGUGCGAGCGUUAAUCGGAAUUACUGGGCGUAACGCGUGCGCAGGCGGCUUUGCAAGACAGAUGUGAAAUCCCCGGGCUCAACCUGGGAACUGCAUUUGUGACUGCAAGGCUAGAGUACGGUAGAGGGGGAUGGAAUUCCGCGUGUAGCAGUGAAAUGCGUAGAUAUGCGGAGGAACACCAAUGGCGAAGGCAAUCCCCUGGACCUGUACUGACGCUCAUGAACGAAAGCGUGGGGAGCAAACAGGAUUAGAAACCCUAGUAGUCC